rnacentral:rRNA from 1 species
GGCCUACCAUGGUUUUAACGGGUAACGGGGAAUUAGGGUUCGAUUCCGGAGAGGGAGCCUGAGAAACGGCUACCACAUCCAAGGAAGGCAGCAGGCGCGCAAAUUACCCAAUCCCGACACGGGGAGGUAGUGACAAUAAAUAACAAUACGGGGCUCAUUUGGGUCUCGUAAUUGGAAUGAGUACAAUUUAAAUCUCUUAACGAGGAACAAUUGGAGGGCAAGUCUGGUGCCAGCAGCCGCGGUAAUUCCAGCUCCAAUAGCGUAUAUUAAAGUUGUUGCAGUUAAAAAGCUCGUAGUUGAACUUCGGGGUUCACCCAUUGGUCAGGCUUAAUUGUCUGUACUGGUGAGAUGAGUCUCUACCUUCUGAGGAACUUUCAUGCCAUUUAUUUGGUGUGAUUGGAAAUCAGGACUGUUACUUUGAAAAAAUUAGAGUGUUUAAAGCAGGCUAACGUCUGAAUACAUUAGCAUGGAAUAAUGAAAUAGGACGGAUUGAUUCUAUUUCGUUGGUUUCUAGGAUCACCGUAAUGAUUAAUAGGGAUAGUUGGGGGCAUUAGUAUUCAAUUGUCAGAGGUGAAAUUCUUGGAUUUAUUGAAGACUAACUACUGCGAAAGCAUUUGCCAAGGAUGUUUUCAUUAAUCAAGAACGAAAGUUAGGGGAUCGAAGACGAUCAGAUACCGUCGUAGUCUUAACCAUAAACUAUGCCGACUAGGGAUCGGACGCAGUUAAUUUUAUAAUGACGUGUUCGGCACCUUACG